rnacentral:rRNA from 1 species
CCUACGGGUGGCAGCAGUCGGGAAUAUUGCGCAAUGGAGGAAACUCUGACGCAGUGACGCCGCGUAUAGGAAGAAGUUUUUCGGAAUGUAAACUAUUGUCGUUAGGGAAGAGAAAGGACAGUACCUAAGGAGGAAGCUCCGGCUAACUACGUGCCAGCAGCCGCGGUAAUACGUAGGUGGCAAGCGUUGUGCGGAUUUACUGGGUGUAAAGGGCGUGCAGCCGGGAAGACAAGUCAGAUGUGAAAUCCCGCGGCUCAACCGCGGAACUGCAUUUGAAACUGUUUUUCUUGAGUACCGGAGAGGUCAUCGGAAUUCCUUGUGUAGCGGUGAAAUGCGUAGAUAUAAGGAAGAACACCAGUGGCGAAGGCGGAUGACUGGACGGCAACUGACGGUGAGGCGCGAAAGCGUGGGGAGCAAACAGGAUUAGAUACCCGUGUAGUC